rnacentral:rRNA from 1 species
UACGUAGGUGGCAAGCGUUGUCCGGAAUUAUUGGGCGUAAAGCGCGCGCAGGCGGUCCCUUAAGUCUGAUGUGAAAGCCCACGGCUCAACCGUGGAGGGUCAUUGGAAACUGGGGGACUUGAGUACAGAAGAGGAAAGCGGAAUUCCACGUGUAGCGGUGAAAUGCGUAGAGAUGUGGAGGAACACCAGUGGCGAAGGCGGCUUUCUGGUCUGUAACUGACGCUGAGGCGCGAAAGCGUGGGGAGCAAACAAG